GACUUGCCCGACCGCCAUUCUAUUCUACCAUAUUGAGAGUAUGAACAGUUUUUUUAAAUUGUCAAUAUAAUGAAAUGAUAGGAUUCGAUCAGAAGGAUCUUUUCAUCUUUCAUAAUUCCAUAGAAUUUUUUUUAUUCAUUGUUAAAAUUCGGUCGAUAUAUUUCUAUUUCACACUAAACUAAACCACGAAAUAAAAAACGAUAAUCAAUCUGGGAAUCGGGAUAAGAAGGAUAGGGAUCAACAAGUUAUUGAAAAUUGUUUUUUUUUUUUCAAUAAGAAUUUGGUUGAGGGGCAGGACAAAUUGAAUCCAUUUCGAUGAAAUAUUUGAAUUGGUGGGGAUAUGUAGUAUGUAUUAAUCAAAUGAAUUUCGUUAUGAUCAGUACUUAAAUUUAAAUCGGUUUUGAAAAAAUAAAUUACAUUGAUAUUUAUCAAAUCCAAUAUCAAUAAACCAUUUUCUUAAGUAUACUCUAUUUACACGGUAAAUCCAAUUUUUUGUUCCUUAAUGAGUCGCUAUGCGGAUAAAUCUAUGUACAUAUAUUUGAAUCUUAUCUAUAUAAGAAGUAUAUGUAGUAACAAAUAUAUGUACUAGACUCAUAUUGUCUAGUUCCUUAUUCAGGAAUUUAAUCGAACGGGGCCCCUUUAACUCAGCGGUAGAGUAACGCCAUGGUAAGGCGUAAGUCAUCGGUUCAAAUCUGAUAAGGGGCUU